UACGUAGGGUGCAAGCGUUGUCCGGAAUUAUUGGGCGUAAAGAGCUCGUAGGCGGUCUGUCGCGUCGGCUGUGAAAUCCCGAGGCUCAACCUCGGGUCUGCAGUCGAUACGGGCAAACUAGAGUAUUGCAGGGGAGACUGGAAUUCCUGGUGUAGCGGUGAAAUGCGCAGAUAUCAGGAGGAACACCGGUGGCGAAGGCGGGUCUCUGGGCAAUAACUGACGCUGAGGAGCGAAAGCGUGGGGAGCGAACAAG
rnacentral:rRNA from 1 species